GCUAAUACCGGAUAAUAUAUUGAACCGCAUGGUUCAAUAGUGAAAGAACGGUUUUGUCUGUCAACUUAUAGAUGGAUCCGCGCCGCAUUAGCUAGUUGGUAAGGUAACGGCUUACCAAGGCAACGAUGCGUAGCCGACCUGAGAGGGUGAUCGGCCACACUGGAACUGAGACACGGUCCAGACUCCUACGGGAGGCAGCAGAU
rnacentral:rRNA from 1 species